rnacentral:rRNA from 1 species
CAGGUCUUGACAUCCUUCUGACCGUCCUAGAGAUAGGGCUUCCCUUCGGGGCAGAAGAGACAGGUGGUGCAUGGUUGUCGUCAGCUCGGGUAGUGAGAUGUUGGGUUAAGUCCCGCAACGAGCGCAACCCUUAACUUUAGUUACCAGCACGUUAUGGUGGGCACUCUAAGGAGACUGCCGGUGACAAACCGGAGGAAGGUGGGGAUGACGUCAAGUCAUCAUGGCCCUUACGGCCUGGGCUACACACGUGCCACAAUGGUCGGUACAGAGGGUUGCCAAGCCGCGAGGUGGAGCUAAUCCCACAAAACCGAUCGUAGUCCGGAUCGCAGUCUGCAGCUCGACUGCGUGAAGUCGGAAUCGCUAGUAAUCGCGAAUCAGAAUGUCGCGGUGAAUACGUUCCC